GUCUAGUUGUGCAUUAGACUGAAAAAAAUAAAUCUGAUCAUAAUGUCAAAGGGACUUUGUGCAUGGACCACUUCAAUGGCCUCUAAAGGCUUCCUAAAUUGUCUUUUUCUUAGGAGCAGGACUGGGCCAGUGUUCAUCUGCCACACUGGCGUCCUCAAAUCUGGAUCUGGAUCAUCUUGGUGGUCUGGAUCCUGUGGGUGCUUCUUACUGGAAGGUCACUGCAGUGCUGCCGGAAGUGUUGUCUACAAAAUGGCCGCCCUCCUUUGUUUGUGCAAAUUCCACAUUGCUUGGCUCAUGGAAUGAUAAUCAAUAAAGCACUUAAUUUUAAACUGGUUCAUGCUUGUCCAUCAAAUCGAUUGUGAAUAAGGUGGACUGAUGUGAUUACUUGUGUCAAACAGUAUUUUGCCCUACCUCUCCAUUAGUUCCUUAUUUGAAACCAUAUUCUACUUAAAUAUUAGGAUGCUUUACUCCCUAACAACUUGCAACUGAGGCAGCUAUAUUGUUGGCUACUCGAAAGGGCCUUAAUCUGCUGGGAGGACUAUAAUGCCGCUUUUCCAACUAAAUUCUUCGGUAACAAACAAAUUAACAUACUUCAUUGUGGGUUGGCAUGCCCAUUUAAACAAGAGGUAAUGAACAAACUUAAAACUUGUUUCCAAGCAAACUCAUUUUCAGCCCCUAACAAGAGAAAGGUGAGGCAGACUGUUGGUUCCGGAUCGUUGCAUUGAAUCUGAAGGUUGCCUCACCAUACCGGGGCUGAAUCCUGGAAAUGGUUAGCAGGUCUA
rnacentral:lncRNA from 1 species